rnacentral:rRNA from 1 species
GGGUUGUGAGGUUAAGCGACUAAGCGUACACGGUGGAUGCCUAGGCAGUCAGAGGCGAUGAAGGGCGUGCUAAUCUGCGAUAAGCGUCGGUAAGCUGAUAUGAAGCGUUAUACCCGACGAUACCCGAAUGGGGAAACCCAGUGUGUUUCGACACACUAUCAUGACAUGAAUACAUAGUGUCAUGAGGCGAACCGGGGGAACUGAAACAUCUCAGUACCCCGAGGAAAAGAAAUCAACCGAGAUUCCCCCAGUAGCGGCGAGCGAACGGGGAGGAGCCCAGAACCUGAAUCAGUUUGUGUGUUAGUGGAAGCGUCUGGAAAGUCGCACAGUAAAGGGUGAUAGUCCCGUACACAAAAAUGCACAAGUUGUGAGUUCGAUGAGUAGGGCGGGACACGUGACAUCCUGUCUGAAUAUGGGGGGACCAUCCUCCAAGGCUAAAUACUCCUGACUGACCGAUAGUGAACCAGUACCGUGAGGGAAAGGCGAAAAGAACCCCGGCGAGGGGAGUGAAAUAGAACCUGAAACCGUGUACGUACAAGCAGUGGGAGCCUACUUGUUAGGUGACUGCGUACCUUUUGUAUAAUGGGUCAGCGACUUAUAUUCUGUAGCAAGGUUAACCGUAUAGGGGAGCCGCAGGGAAACCGAGUCUUAACUGGGCGUUAAGUUGCAGGGUAUAGACCCGAAACCCGGUGAUCUAGCCAUGGGCAGGUUGAAGGUUGGGUAACACUAACUGGAGGACCGAACCGACUAAUGUUGAAAAAUUAGCGGAUGACUUGUGGCUGGGGGUGAAAGGCCAAUCAAACCGGGAGAUAGCUGGUUCUCCCCGAAAGCUAUUUAGGUAGCGCCUCGUGAAUUCAUCUUCGGGGGUAGAGCACUGUUUCGGCUAGGGGGUCAUCCCGACUUACCAACCCGAUGCAAACUACGAAUACCGAAGAAUGUUAUCACGGGAGACACACGGCGGGUGCUAACGUUCGUCGUGAAGAGGGAAACAACCCAGACCGCCAGCUAAGGUCCCAAAGUCAUGGUUAAGUGGGAAACGAUGUGGGAAGGCAUAGACAGCCAGGAUGUUGGCUUAGAAGCAGCCAUCAUUUAAAGAAAGCGUAAUAGCUCACUGGUCGAGUCGGCCUGCGCGGAAGAUGUAACGGGGCUAAACCAUGCACCGAAGCUGCGGCAGCGACACUUAGGUGUUGUUGGGUAGGGGAGCGUUCUGUAAGCCUGCGAAGGUGGCCUGUGAGGGCUGCUGGAGGUAUCAGAAGUGCGAAUGCUGACAUAAGUAACGAUAAUGCGGGUGAAAAACCCGCACGCCGGAAGACCAAGGGUUCCUGUCCAACGUUAAUCGGGGCAGGGUGAGUCGACCCCUAAGGCGAGGCUGAAAAGCGUAGUCGAUGGGAAACAGGUUAAUAUUCCUGUACUCGGUGUUACUGCGAAGGGGGGACGGAGAAAGCUAGGUUAUCCGGGCGACGGUUGUCCCGGUUUAAGCGUGAAGGUGGGUGACUUUGGUAAAUCCGGGUCAUCGUUAACACUGAGGCGUGAUGACGAGUCACUACGGUGAUGAAGUAACCGAUGCUAGGCUUCCAGGAAAAGCCUCUAAGCUCCAGGUAACAUCAAAUCGUACCCCAAACCGACACAGGUGGUCAGGUAGAGAAUACUCAGGCGCUUGAGAGAACUCGGGUGAAGGAACUAGGCAAAAUGGUGCCGUAACUUCGGGAGAAGGCACGCUGAUGGUAGGUGAAGUGACUUGCUCAUGGAGCUGAAAUCAGUCGAAGAUACCAGCUGGCUGCAACUGUUUAAUAAAAACACAGCACUGUGCAAACACGAAAGUGGACGUAUACGGUGUGACGCCUGCCCGGUGCCGGAAGGUUAAUUGAUGGGGUCAGCCGCAAGGCGAAGCUCUUGAUCGAAGCCCCGGUAAACGGCGGCCGUAACUAUAACGGUCCUAAGGUAGCGAAAUUCCUUGUCGGGUAAGUUCCGACCUGCACGAAUGGCGUAAUGAUGGCCAGGCUGUCUCCACCCGAGACUCAGUGAAAUUGAACUCGCUGUGAAGAUGCAGUGUACCCGCGGCAAGACGGAAAGACCCCGUGAACCUUUACUAUAGCUUGACACUGAACCUUGAGCCUUGAUGUGUAGGAUAGGUGGGAGGCUUUGAAGCGUGGACGCCAGUCUGCGUGGAGCCAACCUUGAAAUACCACCCUUUAAUGUUUGAUGUUCUAACGUGGACCCGUAAUCCGGGUUGCGGACAGUGUCUGGUGGGUAGUUUGACUGGGGCGGUCUCCUCCCAAAGCGUAACGGAGGAGCACGAAGGUUAGCUAAUCCUGGUCGGACAUCAGGAGGUUAGUGCAAAGGCAUAAGCUAGCUUGACUGCGAGAGUGACAGCUCGAGCAGGUGCGAAAGCAGGUCUUAGUGAUCCGGUGGUUCUGAAUGGAAGGGCCAUCGCUCAACGGAUAAAAGGUACUCCGGGGAUAACAGGCUGAUACCGCCCAAGAGUUCAUAUCGACGGCGGUGUUUGGCACCUCGAUGUCGGCUCAUCACAUCCUGGGGCUGAAGUAGGUCCCAAGGGUAUGGCUGUUCGCCAUUUAAAGUGGUACGCGAGCUGGGUUUAGAACGUCGUGAGACAGUUCGGUCCCUAUCUGCCGUGGGCGUUGGAAGAUUGAGAGGGGUUGCUCCUAGUACGAGAGGACCGGAGUGAACGCACCACUGGUGUACGGGUUGUGAUGCCAAUUGCAUUGCCCGGUAGCUAAGUGCGGAAGAGAUAACCGCUGAAAGCAUCUAAGCGGGAAACUUGCCUCGAGAUGAGUCUUCCCUGGGCACUUGAUGCCCCUGAAGGGCCGUUGAAGACGACGACGUAGAUAGGCUGGGUGUGUAAGCGUAGCGAUACGUUGAGCUAACCAGUACUAAUGACCCGAGAGGCUUAACCUUACAACACCAAAGGUGUUUUG